UACGAAGGGGACUAGCGUUGUUCGGAAUCCCUGGGCGUAAAGCGCACGUAGGCGGAUAUGUCAGUCAGGGGUGAAAUCCCGGGGCUUAACCUCGGAACUGCCUUUGAUACAGCAUAUCUUGAGUCCGAUAGAGGUGGGUGGAAUUCCUAGUGUAGAGGUGAAAUUCGUAGAUAUUAGGAAGAACACCCGUGGCGAAGGCGACUCUGUGGCCUGUAACUGACGCUGAGGCGCGAAAGCGUGGGGAGCAAACAGG
rnacentral:rRNA from 1 species